rnacentral:rRNA from 1 species
UACGUAGGGUGCGAGCGUUUAAUCGGAAUUACUGGGCGUAAAGCGUGCGCAGGCGGCUGCUCAAGUCAGGGGUGAAAGCCCAGAGCUCAACUCUGGAAUUGCCUUUGAGACUGAGUGGCUUGAGUACGGGAGAGGUGAGUGGAAUUCCCAGUGUAGAGGUGAAAUUCGUAGAUAUUGGGAAGAACACCGGUGGCGAAGGCGGCUGCACUGGCCCGGUAACUGACGCUC